UACAGAGGGUGCGAGCGUUAAUCGGAAUUACUGGGCGUAAAGCGUGCGUAGACGGUUAUCUAAGUCGGAUGUGAAAGCCCCGGGCUCAACCUGGGAAUUGCAUUCGAGACUGAAUAGCUAGGGUACGGUAGAGGGAAGUGGAAUUUCCGGUGUAGCGGUGAAAUGCGUAGAUAUCGGAAGGAACAUCAGUGGCGAAAGCGACUCCCUGGACCAGUACCGACGUUCAGGCACGAAAGCGUGGGGAGCAAACAGG
rnacentral:rRNA from 1 species